GUUUAAAAAUCGCGUAAUUUACAUUUUAGCAUUAGUUUCUUACAAAAGGUAGAAGUAAUUAGUCCGUAAGAACAUUUAAAUAAAAGUCGCUUUACAAUAUGUGCCUAAAAAAGUAUAUGUUCCUUCUCUUCUCGCGUACAUUCCGCGUCAAGUACCAGAAAUACCACUAUCUGAGGAAGAUGAAAUAAUGUACGCAGAAAGCUAAAUGUAUUACUAAAAAAGUCAUAAGCCCUGAUAUUA